rnacentral:rRNA from 1 species
AGCCACAGCCAUAUCACCCUGCAACCUAAGACCGGUUACUCACUGAAGCUAAGCAGAGCUGAGCCUGGUCAGUACCCAGAUGGGAGACCUGGGAAAACUAAGUUGCUGUUCUCU